UUCAGUUUGCCACCGUCACGUCACAUUUAAGCAGGAUAUCAACUAAGUUAUCACAUCUAGGGUUCUGAUUCUGAACUUUGCUCCCUAAAAUCUCUAGAACCAUCACUUCCGCUCCACCAUCACCAAUCGAAUCAUCCUCUACUCCACCUCAUUGUCGAUGAUCCAAAACCCUAAUCGCUCCCAAAAAUGGAAACCGUUGGACUUCAGCAAUGAGCAAAUGAUUUCUUAGGGUUCGGUUUGUUGGGAACUAUGACUAACGGUCUUGUUAUUCUUAAUCGAAGAUUACAGGUCAAGGAUGAAGUAGUAGGUUACAAGUAGUAGAAGCAAGGAUACAAGUUUGAUUUUCAAAGGAUUUCACCACCAACAGGAACAAAUGGGUCAAAACUGAUCUACUGCUGGGUUUCGGUUUGUUUUUUUUGGCAUGAAAUUUAGCUAUAUAUAUCGUAAGGCAACAUGGAUUUCGAUACCAGAAGUUGAGCACAGAGCAAAGCUAGAUUCAACACCAUUUGCAUCAUGAGUUAGACUAUCAGCUACUAUGGUUACUAUGAUUGAAAAGUUUGAACUUAGUUAUCAAGGAGCUCAUUAAAGAAAAGGAUGAAGAAAAAGAAAAAGAAAAAGAAAGGCUAAAUGGAAUUAUUGCAGGGUGGUUGGUUGGUUGGCUGAAAAAAAAAAAGAUAAGGUGGAUAAAGAUGCUAUACUCGAUACGAUGUCACAAAUUGAAGCUGUGUUAACAAGUACAGUUUGAAGAUAGGCUACAAACACUUGGUUUUGAAUGUUUCGAUGUUUAUCGUAUUAGGAUUUUUUAGUUAUUUCAUGUUUUAGCUUUAGCUGGUAUUUCUAUUAGAAUGUUUUGUAUGCUUUUGAUACAUAGAUGUUUUAUAUAAUUUUGGGUUUUCGUGAUCCUAUUAGACUCUUUAUAUAAUUUUGUAAUUUUAUUGAUAUGUAUUUUUUAUGAAAAAAGUAGGGAAAAUGAAAAAUCAAGCUGAAUAAAAAACCAAUAUUCAAGCAAUCACGAAAUGGUAGCAAAUAAUGGUAGCAAGUAAUUCAACAAGCUCGCUAAAUUUUCAAUGAAAAUGGUGGUUAAAUGGUGGCAAAUCGGUAGCAAACUAAAUGGUGGCAAAUCGGUAGCAAACUAAAUGGUGGCAAAUCGGUAGCAAAUAAGGUGGACCGUAGAAAACAAGAAGCGGUGGCAAAUAAUCUUGACCAAUUUUGUGGUGGCAAAAAUAAGGUGGCAAAAUAUAAAAAUGGUGGCUAUUUGGUAACAAUAGGGCAAUUGACACGGGUGUUUUUGUCACGGCAUUUUUGGUGGCAAAAUGGUGACAACAUGGAAAUUGCUACUGUUUUGUGACCAAAAGUUUCAUGACAAAAGCCCUCUUUUCUAGUAGCGAUCAAAACGUUAUAAAAUAAAUGGCUAGGGACUCAGGGCGUUAAACUUUUUGAUUUUGGACUAAAAUGGUUAAAACCACUAAAACACAAAGACUCAAAAAGGAAUUUAUUCAUUUAAUAAUGAAAAUAAGAAAGAAAAAGAUAAUGAAAUUAUAAGACAGGUAGUAGAUAACCUCAUGGCAUCUUCCAUUCAUAUAGUGACGGCAAUAUGUUAUUUUUUCCUCUUUAACCACUGGUUGAAGUUUCAACCUCUUGACACCAAGUUUUAACCUCUUUUCAGCUCGUUUAAUUCUAUCCUUGAUCUGUAAAACGUUAUAAUGGUGACGGGAUUAGUCAGAGUAAUUCAUAUAGUAGAUUGACUGAUAAAACUAACCAGCAAUACUACAGCAUAUGUGAAUCUAUUAAGUGAAUUUGUAUAUAACACUUGGAUAUUCUCAGACUAGUUAACCAUCAAAUAGCAAAUAUCUUUUUCCCAAAAUAAUCUACACACUAAUAUAUAAUUUUUAAUGACAAACUCACAUACCCCUAAACUAACUCUUAAAUUUAUACCAUUUGAUAGAACUUAAACAAUAUCCACUUGACAACUGUACGAUCGCAUCUACACAUUAAUUAAAAAAAGUUAAAAAAGUUACAACGUUCAUCACUUACUCUAUAUAACAAUUUGGGUAGAUUGUUAGCUAAAGUUUCCGUUUCCAGGUUAUCCUGCCGGUCAUUACUACCACCAAUACCUCUAUUCUCCUUCAUCAGAGGUAAGCAAGUGAUGUCUGCCACCGCCGACAAGAAGGUUGUUCUCUUUGGUUUUCUGAUGCUUUCUUUGAUUUUUGAGCAUCGUGUUGACGACAACUCCCAGUCGACCUAUACCAUGAAAUCUUCCACCUAAUUAUAACCCUAAUUCGAUUUCCACACUAUGCAAAACCUAUAAUCCAAUCGCCCUAACCAGCUCCCAACUUCCGCUAUCAGAUACUUCUUGAGUUCUACCAAGGGCUCCUCUGUUUUUUUUAUAUUAUUUUCCAUCAGUGCUUUUCUUUUGCUAUCCAAAAACUUGUAUUAUUUUGAGCAUAGAAUCAAAAGGAGAAAGAGGGAUUUCAUGAUGGUACUGAUCGAUGACUUAAGUGAUGAUGGAUUAUUAGGGUUCAAAGGGUCUGUGACAGUGUGCAUGGUGCGAUAAGUGUUCCUGUUGACAAAGGUGGAGGUAUUAGGGCUCAUAGGAGGUUCUCGCUAAGGAAGAUACAUGUACAUCAGCAUUGUUGGUGAUGACAACUAAGAUUGUGUUGAGUUUAAAACAUGCAAUUGGCACUCAUUGGUAAGGAAGAAUUAGAAAUAGUUGUGUAGUUUGGCUGCUGUUGUGUAGUUUAAAACUGAAUUUGCAAGAUUUAGGGAUUGAUUUCAAUAAUUCUCUGUGUACCUUUAUCCGCAGCUAAGCGCGGACAGUAUUUACUAGUUAAUAUAGUUGUUUGUUAGU
rnacentral:lncRNA from 1 species